AUGGCUCGGCUCCUGCGCUCUGCUGCUGCCACGGGACCCAGUGCACCUCCCGUCCUCUGCUUUUCUCCGUGCGGAACUGUCUGUCUCGUGUCGCUGCUUGCACCUGCUACUGCUGGGAAUACGCUGUCCCGCGACGCCCUGUACUCAAUCUGUACCCGUGCUCUCUCUGGUCUCACGAACCAUCCCUACGGCCGCAAAGCUUCUCUUAGACCGGCCGCCAUGCAUCAAACUGAACUGCUGAGUUCAUUCCCCCAAAGUCCUGCAGAGCUUAUAGUAAAGAGGCGUACCCCGAUCUCCUCCGUUACUUAA
rnacentral:rRNA from 1 species